UACGUAGGGGGCGAGCGUUGUCCGGAUUUAUUGGGCGUAAAGGGCGCGCAGGCGGCCUUUUAAGUCAGUUGUGAAAGGUCUCGGCUCAACCGAGGAGUGGCAGCUGAAACUGGAAGGCUUGAGUGCAGGAGAGGAGAGCGGAAUUCUCGGUGUAGCGGUGGAAUGCGUAGAGAUCGGGAGGAACACCAGUGGCGAAGGCGGCUCUCUGGCCUGUAACUGACGCUGAGGCGCGAAAGCGUGGGGAGCAAACAGG
rnacentral:rRNA from 1 species